CUUUUAAAAACAUUCAUCAUUUUGCGUUAAGUGUAUAACUUUAAGUGUAAUGUUGUUCAAAACGCUGUUAGGUGUCUUGUUUGUGGCAUUUGUGGGUGCUGAUCACUGCCCGGCUGAGGUUAACCCAUCCUCAACCGGCUCAGUUCGGGACAGACUAGUGCUUCUAAAGAGGGACCAUGGAGAACACUGUAUGGAUAAGAAUGACCAUUGCUCCGAAUGUAAAGAAAUGUGUACUACUGAUAAGUACAGCGCGUGGCUGAUGAAAAACUGUCCCUUAACCUGCGGAUUCUGUGAAGACGAUCACGAUCAUGAUGGAGAUGGAGAACAAGACCAUGAUCACGAAGACCACAAAGACCACGAUCAUGAUGGUGAUGGAGAACAAGACCACGAUCACGAAGACCACAAAGACCACGAUCAUGAUGGAGAUGGAGAACAAGACCACGAUCAUGAAGACCAUAAAGACCACGAUCAUGAUGAAGAUGGAGAACAAGACCACGAUCAUGAAGACAUUAAGACCACGAUCAUGAUGGAGAUGGAGAACAAGACCACGAUCAUGAAGACCAUAAAGACCACGAUGACAAAGAGAAGCCUUGCAUUUGGGCAUUGAUUGAGGAUAUGAAAGUUUCAGGUAAGUCAGUGAUGACGAACGUGACGCUGAGCGCAGCAAAGAUGGCGUGUCACCACGACGACCGCUGUACGGCCGUGUCCUGCAACCCGAAGGGAGCUGCUGUGUCAUGAAGAAGUCCCAGAAAAUGAAGCCAAGAAAAGGGUACAAAACCUACCUGAGGAACCCAGUCGCUCUACAGCAACAAUUCAUGAAUGUACUGAUGUUUCUGUUCCCAAAUCUAGCGUAGAAUCUAUCUUAUCAGUGAUUUUUUGAUUACCAUGACCAUAUGUUUAUUGUUGUUUUGGAAUAAAAACUGGUUAGGAAAAAAUUCUUUCACUAAUUUUAGCAUACUCUGCAGAUUACUGUCUAAAUUUUAAAAUGUAUUCUCUUGUGGAUUUGGACCUCUAAAUUCUAACAACUCAAUAAUAAUUAAUAUGUGUUCACUUAAAUACACAAAUAUUCAGAAUUAAAAACUUUAAACAAUACAGACUU